ensembl:ncRNA F39B3.6 ncRNA
UGACAGUUUAGUUUUGAGUGACGUGUAAACAUCUCUAAUAAGAAAAGUCAGGACUUUUAGAGGGGGACUGGGGAUACUAAAGAAAUCGCCGAACGUGUCUGUGUGCCCCUCUUUGAUCUCACAAAGAUGAAUAGACAGAGAGUAUCGUCGCGAAAAGGGUUGUUUCCUUUGACACACACACAUAUAUACCGGCGCAAACACACAAAAAUGAA